AAUGAACGCUGGCGGCGCGCCUAACACAUGCAAGUCGAGCGAGAAAGUUCCUUCGGGAGCGAGUAAAGCGGCAAACGAGUGCGUAACACGUGAGAAUUUACCCUUCAGUGAGGAAUACCUUCGAGAAAUUGAAGUUAAUACUGCAUACGUCCCUUCGGGGAGAAAGAUGGCCUCUUUGCUAUCGCUGAGGGAUAAGCUUGCGGACUAUCAGCUAGUUGGUGAGGUAAUGGCUCACCAAGGCGAUGACGGUUAGCCGGCCUGAGAGGGUGAACGGCCACGCUGGAACUUAGACACGGUCCAGACUCCUACGGGAGGCAGCAGUGAGGAAUAUUGCGCAAUGGGCGAAAGCCUGACGCAGCGACGCCGCGUGGAGGAUGAAGGUCUUCGGAUUGUAAACUUCUGUUAAGUGAGACCGAAAGACUCAUCUCUAAUACAGAUGAGGGAUGACGGUACCACUAGAGAAAGCACCGGC
rnacentral:rRNA from 1 species